AGAGUUUGAUCCUGGCUCAGAUUGAACGCUGGCGGCGUGCUUAACACAUGCAAGUCGAGCGGUAACAGGUGUAGCAAUACAUGCUGACGAGCGGCGAACGGGUGAGUAAUGCUUCGGAAUCUACCCAAUGGUGUGGAAUAACCAGCCGAAAGGUUGGCUAAUACCGCAUGAGCCCUACGGGGGAAAGCAGGGGAUCGCAAGAACCUGCGCCGAUGGAUGAGCCGAAGUCGGAUUAGCUAGUUGGUAGGGUAACGGCCUACCAAGGCGACGAUCCGUAGCUGGUCUGAAAAGACCAACAGCCACACGGGGACUGCGACACGGCCAGACUCUACGGGAGGCAGCAGUGGGGAAUAUUGGACAAUGGGGGCAACCCUGAUCCAGCGACGCCGCGUGUGUGAAGAAGGCCUGCGGGUUGUAAAGCACUUUUAUCGGGAGCGAAA
rnacentral:rRNA from 1 species